rnacentral:lncRNA from 1 species
GGUGGAGCUGAGUCUACUUCCAUGUGCCAUGUGUCGUUGUCUUCAGGGGGCAGCAUUUCUUCAGUUACAGAGCAGUGGUGUCGUCAGGGGUGAGGUCAUCCUCCUCAAAACCUAGACCAAGUUGGCAUGUGUCCGGGGCUCUUCUACUCUGAAGCCAGAAGCCAGAAGUAUGGUUUCAUAAAGCAGGAUGACCAGCUCUUUCACAGACUUGUCAUUCUUGCUGGGGUGGGCUGUUGACUGUCCAAAGCCAAUCGCAUCAUCAGCAAUGCUUUGUGCAGGGCUCGGUUCGGGUGUGCAGUGGGGAGUGUGAUGCUUGAGUCUUAUGAUGGACACAGAAGUGAAGUUCUCUCCCCUCAUGGUCUAGACACAGAGUCGUGGGGCCCCGGGUCCAUCUUGGGACCUCUGUGGAAGCUACCCUGAAGACAGGACCAACACACAGUGGAUUUAAUCCCCUGGCUAGGUUUAAGGCCUAGCUCCACCACUCAGUCUGUGUGACCUGAGGUGUUGAUCCUAACAGCACUGCCUGCCCGCUGAUCCCGGAGUCUGCUUCCUGGGAUCCAAGCCAUGACUCUUUCACUGUGAGUCCAUCUGCCUGAACACCCCGUCCCUGCUUCUCAGCCAGGUGAGUGCCACUCAGAGUCUAAUUCUACACCCA